UAAUUUGAAGCAGUGGUUAGAGCGUUGGUCUCAUAUACACAUAUAUGACAAGAUUGUUAACAAUUUGGCCAUCCAAAGGUCGUGAGUUCGAGUCUCACCGAGGACA